rnacentral:rRNA from 1 species
AGUGAACGCUGGCGGCGUGCUUAACACAUGCAAGUCGAACGAGAGCGGGAUAUAGCUUGCUAUAUUUGUCAGCUAAGUGGCGCACGGGUGAGUAAUGUAUAGAUAACCUGCCCUCUAGAAAGGAAUAACAGUUGGAAACGACUGCUAAUGCCCUAUAUGCCUUUAAUACAUAAGUAUGCAAGGGAAACGCUUUAGUGCUAGAGGAUGGGUCUGUAUGGUAUCAGCUUGUUGGUGAGGUAAUGGCUCACCAAGGCUAUGACGCCUAACUGGUUUGAGAGGAUGAUCAGUCACACUGGAACUGAGACACGGUCCAGACUCCUACGGGAGGCAGCAGUGGGGAAUAUUGCACAAUGGACGAAAGUCUGAUGCAGCAACGCCGCGUGGAGGAUGACACAUUUCGGUGCGUAAACUCCUUUUAUAUAGGAAGAUAAUGACGGUACUAUAUGAAUAAGCACCGGCUAACUCCGUGCCAGCCGCCGCGGUAAAAC